rnacentral:rRNA from 1 species
GACGAACGCUGGCGGCGUGCUUAACACAUGCAAGUCGAACGGUAAGGCCCUUCGGGGUACACGAGUGGCGAACGGGUGAGUAAUACGUGGGUGAUCCGCCCUGCACUGCGGGAUAAGCCUGGGAAACUGGGUCUAAUACCGGAUAGGACCACUGCACGCAUGGGUGCGGGCAGAAAGCCUUUGCGGUGUGGGAUGGGCCCGCGGCCUAUCAGCUUGUUGGUGGGGUGAUGGCCUACCAAGGCGACGGCGGGUAGCCGGCCUGAGAGGGUGACCGGCCACACUGGGACUGAGACACGGCCCAGACUCCUACGGGAGGCAGCAGUGGGGAAUAUUGCACAAUGGGCGCAAGCCUGAUGCAGCGACGCCGCGUGAGGGAUGACGGCCUUCGGGUUGUAAACCUCUUUCAGCACCGACGAAGCGCAAGUGACGGUAGGUGCAGAAGAAGGACCGGCCAACUACGUGCCAGCAGCCGCCGUAA